UGGGGAGUACGGUCGCAAGACUGAAACUCAAAGGAAUUGACGGGGACCCGCACAAGCAGCGGAGCAUGUGGUUUAAUUCGAAGCAACGCGAAGAACCUUACCAGGACUUGACAUCCCCUUGACAGCACCUUAACCGGAGCCUUCCCUUCGGGGACAAAGGAGACAGGUGGUGCAUGGUUGUCGUCAGCUCGUGUCGUGAGAUGUUGGGUUAAGUCCCGCAACGAGCGCAACCCUUGCCUUUAGUUGCCAUCAGUAAGGCUGGGCACUCUAGAGGGACUGCCGGUGACAAACCGGAGGAAGGUGGGGAUGACGUCAAAUCAUCAUGCCCCUUAUGUUCUGGGCUACACACGUGCUACAAUGGCUGGUACAACGGGCAGCGAAGGAGUAAUCCGGAGCGAAUCCUACAAAGCCAGUCCUAGUUCGGAUUGUGGGCUGCAACUCGCCCACAUGAAGCCGGAGUUGCUAGUAAUCGUGAAUCAGAAUGUCGCGGUGAAUGCGUUCCCGGGUCUUGUACACACCGCCCGUCACACCAUGGGAGCUCAGGGCACCCGAAGUCAGCACUAGGCGCAAGCUGAAGCUGCCGAAGGUGAAAUGAGUGACUGGGGUGAAGUCGUAACAAGGUAACCGU
rnacentral:rRNA from 1 species